AGUCCCCUGUGCCCUGCCUGCUCAUCCCUUCCUACCUCUCCCCACUCCCUGGAACCCAUUGAUAUUCUUCCUGGCAGUGCAGCAUUGCCUCUUCCAGGAGGUAGUGGCAUUGGAAUCAGAUAAUGUGUAUCCUUUUAAAUUAGAACAUUUCACUUUAUGGCUAGCACACUUGGUUGCUGAAUUAAAGGGAUACCUGGAGGCAGCAGGGGAAAAGCCAAGUAUGUCUGGAGUAGAACCUAACCACUUCAGAGUGUGAAGAAGCUCUCCACCACCCCUGGCUGAAUGAAUCACAUGGAAUGGAAGACAACAGGAGAAACAGGCAGACAGAGCUUACCUUACUUCACGGAAUCUAGGAGAAAUGCUGCAAAUUAAGACACAAUCUACCUUCGGAGAAAAUCAAGUGCAGUAGUAUGAACUUUUGUGAGAAUCUUGGAAUCAGCAGAAUUUGAUUUUAUGCCUCUUUAACAGGCAAGAUAAAUUAAGGUCCAGAGGAGUUAGAUGGCAAAGCCAAGCUCUGACUUCCCAGUUCCUGGUCUUCUGGCUUCCAGGUUCCAAGAGCUGAACAACUCCCUGUCAAAGUGACUGUGAGCGCAGCCUUCAUAACAUCAUUACUCAUACUGAUGCAUGGCUCGGCAACCUUUCUUCCUCAUCUUCAGCUCCAAAGUUGUCCUCCUUCAUCCUGGCUGCCUGGAAUACAUAUGCAUGAACCUUGGGUCCUCUUCUUUUCUCUAAUACUUUAAUUGCAGGUGAAACCACAAGGAACAGUUUCUCAUAGAUCUACAGGAUGAAUCUCAGAACUACGAGAAACGAGCACACAGAAAAAUACUCCAUUCGUGCAAGCCCAGGCCCUUCCUCCUCUGAGAGCAUUGUUUCCUGGUCUUGCCAUCUUCAGAUCUUGAGCCAAGAGUCAAGCAGUACUGAUUUGGGGCAAGCUAAAAGUUUCCAGGCAGAGUUGGGUAGAAGAGAGGAAAGUUUAGUAACAUAAGCAUUAACAGAGAUAAUCUGGUACCAAAAGGCGAGCACAAAUUGGAGCAAGGAGGAAAGUGGAUUUCAGUAUAACCUCAGACGGCGCACCCAGUUGUGGGGACCUACACAGGAGUGCCAUCUCCAUUAAGUGGUGUGAUUUGUUUUGAAUGUUGGAAAGACUAAUCCCUAUAUUCUGUGAUGUUUAUCAUUCCUGGCCCCUACCUUCUGAAUGCCAAUAGCACUCUAGACAUUGUGGCCCGAAUGCCUCCACAGAUUUUGCUGAAAUGAAAGCAGCAUUUUCGAACUGAGUACUAGUCUGUCAAGCAAAAACUAAAACUAUUCCAGUGACCAAUAAUUUUCCAGUAGGGAACAAGAGAGAGAGAGAGAGUGAGAAAACCCAGGUGGGAAUGACAAAUGAGAUGCUGCCACUACAGAAAUACAACAAUGACAUACAAUCAAUGGAGGAUGCCUGCUCCCCAUACCUCAUGUGGAUUUUGAGGAGGAAGCCACAGCAGAAAAGUAGAAGUCCCUCUACUGUGGCUACAUGCAUUACUAUUCUACAACCACUCAUAGGCUAAGAACACAUGCUGGUGAUGGCGGUGCUCGGGAAGCAAGGAAGGUGAUGCACAGAGAGUAGCUGGAGGUUGCGAGUGCUUCAUACAGGACCAGCUGUUCUUGGAUGUGCCUCCGUGUACAACAUCCUGUCCCUCCAACCUACAUCAUCACAGUUUGUGCCCUUCAAGCCCCACAUCCCUUUCACUGAAGCCACCUCCUUAUUCCCAUAAUUGACCCCCAAUACACCCAAACUAUGAGACGACAGUUAAAUUGGGAUGAGAACUUCAAAAGUGAAAAUGAGGGCUAGUGGUGCAGCUCAGUGGUGUAACACUAAUGUAGCAUGCGUGAGAGCUUGGGUUUAAUCCUCAAUGCUGACCCCAUCCCUCUAAAACCCCCACAGAAACUGAAGACAAUUUACAUUUGGUUGUCCUGUGAACUUACUAGCUGAGCUUCAUGUGCUUUUUUUAGAGCUAGAGGAACAAUGAUCACAAAACUAAAAGAGUAAAAUUUUCCAAAAAUUCACCACUUCUUAAAAUAAACCAAAGAUUAGUAAAAGUAGCAAGAAUCAAUUUUUUCCAGAACUCUGGAAAUUUAACCAGGACUUGUAGCAAGUGUAGAAAUGUUUCUUGAGGGAAAGUAGUUUAAUCUCAGUAUGAAAAGUAAGAUUUAUAUAACUCGCUAUAGUCCUGUACCCCUUUCAGCCGCUCAAGACAUCAUACAGAGAGCCCACAGGUCAGACGAGAAGUGGCAGCCACUAGUGGGAACAGAACAGAGCUGGAAAUUUUGCCAAGACUCAUUGCAAAGAGUUGUUAUUAGUUUACCUGUGCAAAUAAAAGAAAACAACAAAAUAUCUAGUGAACUGAGCAAAGUGGAAAUUUGUUUUCCUCCUAUGUAAUGAAAGUUGGGGCACAGCUUCAGGACUGAGAUCAUAGCUCUGGACAUCAGGUGCACGUUCCUUAAAGCUUUCCAUGGCAUCUAUCCAGAUGGCCCAUGUUCUCUGAGUUCAAGAUGGCUGCUGGAUUAGAGUUCUCACACUGAUAUUCCAAGGGCAUGAUGGACAGAUGGGUAAAUAAGAAAGGAGUACAUGGCAUACAACAGCUACAUUUUGAGAGGAUUCCUAGAAGGGGCAUGCACUUGUCAUUGAACGGAGCUAACUCACAUGACUAUACUGGCUGCAAGGGAAGCUGAAAAAGUGUUACACAUUCAGUUUAAAAAGGAGAAGAAAAGGAUGGAGGGAAUGAUAAAUAUUCAGGGAGGUAUCUGGCAAUAGCUACCAUUGUGAGACUGGAUAUCUGGGAGUAGGAGAAUGAAGAGCUACUGAGAUCUUUAUCAAAGUUGACAUAGGACAAAGACUGAGACUGCACACAGGGAUGGCCAUGCAAAUUUAUACCAAUUAGGUUCUAGAAUACAAAAUGGAAAUAAAGCCUACACUAAAAACAGAAUCUCACUUUACUAUUGCAAAAAAGCUUUCAUUUCAAGAGUUUUUUAAAGAUAUCAUUUUUCAUCUUGUAGCCAGACUUUUGCCUAAAGGAACUCUGGAAAUUUAACCAGGACUUGUAGCAAGAUAUUCAGUAAAGUAUGUAGACUACUACUACAUACUUUGAGAUACUAUGAGAUAUUCAGUAAAGUAUGUAGACUACUGCUGCUGAUCUUUCUAGUCCUUCAAAACCGAAAAGCCUAUCAAGGGCCUAAGCGCAGCUUUCCCAGGUGACUCUGGAGAUGGUCAAUGGAUGUUGCGGACACUCGAGCCAGAGCACACAUUUUCCUUGUAUCUCAUUUUUAGAAAGGUUUAAUAAACAAAUUCUCUCUGAGCAGAAGAGGAAGUGGAAAUGUAAUGUAUUAAAUUCAAAAUGGCAGUUUUGAUGAUUUCAAACAAGUGGAAUUCAUUAUGUAGAUACUUUUUAUAAGUAGCAGAUAAAGUCAGGUAUAAAGGAAAAAUACUGUUUUUAGUUCUAAUAAGGUUAGACUGCCCUAUGAAGAAGUGUUUAUAUUUCAUGGGACAUUACUUAACAUGAUGUUAAAAAGGUUUUAGAGGCCACAUAAAAUUGAAUCAAAGUCAAUAUAGUUUGCUCUUGGAGAUUAACAAUGCACACAAUAUGCUCAAGAUAUUCACAUUAUAGAGAGAUAUUUACAUUAAAGAAAUUAACUUUGUAAAAGCUAGCAUUUGUAGCUAUUGGACCAAACCUUUUUCCCCCCAACAUAUCAUGAGAAGCUGCUAUUCCUCAGGAUAGAGUUGGAAAAAUGAUGUCAGGGCAUACUGUGUUAAAAUGCUGGGAAUGCUCUAACCAUUUAUGCUCAGAAAGUUUCCAGCUUUUCCCUACAGAAAAAUCUACAGGUUAUUUCACUGCAGGCACCAACAAAUAAUUACUGGACUGGCACCAGCCCACAGAUCAUGCAUUCGUGUGGCCGGCAUGUCAUCGCCCUCUCUGCAUUUUCCCUCAGAGAGACUUCCCUGAAGAGAACACACUUGGCCUCCCUUCAAACCCUCAUCAGUUCUCCCAGAGGCAGGGAUAGCGGAAUUUCACAGGACCUGUCUUGUGGAGUUCAUAUGGAAUGUGAUCAGUGUUGAUGAAGAUACUUCUGAACUGUGGUGCCAUAUACUACAGAAUUCAUAGUGACGGUAAUGAAGAAGAUGAUCGUGACAAUGACAAAAGCUAUAAAAUGAAACAUGGACUUUUCAUCUUGGUCCUUGUACCAACUCUUUACUUCCCCUUGAUGUUCUCCUCUCUUCUACUCCAGCCAACAUGACAGGGAGAUCUUCACUUCCCUUAAAAGGAAGGAAUCAUUUAAGACUUGAACAUCUACUAAGCUCAAAUUCUGUUUAAUUUUCAAUUAUAGGAAAUGCAGAAUACAGUUCCUGAGAAAUUAUUUUGAGGGCUUAUACCAGUAUAAUUUGGGGCUGUGAGAUGGUGAAAUUGUGUCUUUUAAAUUGGAAUUAUAAGAAAAUAAUAAAUGGGACUCCACUGGAAUAUUUAUUUGAGGUCCUAAGAGUUCCCAAACAUU